rnacentral:lncRNA from 1 species
GGAUAGUUUUGAACUCUCUGACCUUAAGCCAAGAUGAAGCAGAACCAUCUCUCUGGGCCCUGACACACCCCCAUUUUCUUUUUCCUCAUUUACUUAAGGCACUGGAAGUCUUUUGGGUCAAUAUAGUUUUUCAUUAAUUAAAAGGGAAAACAAAGCAGGGAGGUGGUGGUGCACACACCUUAAGUCCCAGCACUUGGGAGGCAAUGGCAGAGGCUGGUCUCAAACUCACAGAGAUCCGCCUGCCCCUGCCUCCCGAGUGUUGGGAUUAAAGUCGUGCACCAGCAAUGCCCAACCAUCUUGCACUCUUUUCCCUCUUUGAAAGGAUAAACUAGGCACCCCAAACAAGGCACAGCAGUAGGUGUAGGUAUAAGGAGUCUGUGCAUGCAUCUGUAUUCAUUACUUUUCUGUGGCUCUGCUAAAACACCGUGACCACAUGCAGGCUCUAGAAGGAGUUUAUUCUGGCUGGCAGUUCCAGGGGCAUUGGAGUCUGUCAUGAUUGGGAGUCCUGUAAGCAGGCAUGGAGGCAGGGUUAGGAAGCUGAGAGACAUGUCUUCAGAAGCAGAGUCAGCAAACUAGAAGGCUGUGAACUCUCAAAGCCCUCCCCAGUGCCUGUUUAACCCAGCAAGACUGCGCAUCCCCAUAAUGUCUUCAAACUGCCCCAUCAACUGGGUAAGUGUUCAAAUGUGCCACCUAUGAGGGACAUUUCUCAUUCAAACAGACACAGUCAAGAGUAUAAACCCAAACCAGACGAUUAUUAUUAAUUAAUAAGGAAAAACGGCAUAGUAAUUUUUGUGGGAAUCACCAGAUACAAUUUACUGAUUUUUUUUUCUCCCAGACUUUUGACAAAGUUUCACAUCAGAGAUCUUGCAGUGGUAAAUUGGGAAUGUUAAGUAGAGCUGAGAUGGCAUGAGAGAAACGGCAGGAAGAAAGGUAGCAUUAACAGGUUCAGGAUACUAUUAGGUAAGCUAAUAAUAGGCCUUGGUGUAAGGAAUUACAAUUUAGUAUUGGCUUUAGGGGGUUUCUGGAAUGCCAUCUGGUAUGUAGCUGUUAAAGAUCUGGCUUUUUGUGGGUAGUGGUGGCGCACGCUGUUAAACCCAGCACUGGGAAGGUAGAGUCAGGCAGAUCUCUGAGUUGGAGGCCAUCCUGAUCUACAGAGCAAGUUUCAGGACAGGGCUAUACAGAGAAGCCCUAUCUGGAAAAACAAAACAAAACGGAUCUGGCUUUUAUGAGAGAGAUGAACUGUAACGGAAUUAAGUGGAGGUAUCACAACCAAGUACAAAACAUCUUCAGUAUGCUGAGCUAUGGUGGUAACAGAAACAGUGAUGUAUUUAAUCUAGAG